rnacentral:rRNA from 1 species
CUUGACAGAUAUAAGAGGUCCAGCCUGCCCAGUGACCUAGUUCAACGGCCGCGGUAUCCUAACCGUGCGAAGGUAGCGUAAUCACUUGUUCUUUAAAUAAGGACUAGUAUGAAUGGCACCACGAGGGUUUAACUGUCUCCUUUUUCUAAUCAGUGAAACUAAUCUCCCCGUGAAGAAGCUGGGAUUUUUUUAUAAGACGAGAAGACCCUAUGGAGCUUUAAACUAUUUUACACCUGCUGCCCACAAACCAACUUCCAGAAAUUAACCCUAAAGCAUAGCACUUUGAUUAAUAGUUUUUGAUUGGGGUGAUCGCGGAGUAAAAAAUAACCUCCACGACGAAAGGAUUUUUCCUGAGCCAUAAGCCACAGCUUUAAGCACUAAUAUUAUUAACGGCUAUUGACCCAAUAAUUUUGAUCAACGAAC